rnacentral:rRNA from 1 species
UGGGGAAUAUUGCACAAUGGGCGCAAGCCUGAUGCAGCCAUGCCGCGUGUGUGAAGAAGGCCUUCGGGUUGUAAAGCACUUUCAGCGAGGAGGAAGGUGGUGAGCUUAAUACGCUCAUCAAUUGACGUUACUCGCAGAAGAAGCACCGGCUAACUCCGUGCCAGCAGCCGCGGUAAUACGGAGGGUGCAGCGUAAUCGGAAUUACUGGGCGUAAAGCGCACGCAGGCGGUUUGUUAAGUCAGAUGUGAAAUCCCCGGGCUCAACCUGGGAACUGCAUUUGAAACUGGCAAGCUAGAGUCUCGUAGAGGGGGGUAGAAUUCCAGGUGUAGCGGUGAAAUGCGUAGAGAUCUGGAGGAAUACCGGUGGCGAAGGCGGCCCCCUGGACGAAGACUGACGCUCAGGUGCGAAAGCGUGGGGCAGCAAACAGGAUUAGAUACCCCUGGUAGUCCAGCGCUGUAAAACGAUGUCGAUUUGGAGGUUGUGCCCUUGAGGCGUGGCUUCCGGAGCUAACGNGUUAAAUCGACCGCCUGGGGGAGUACGGCCGCAAGGUUAAAACUCAAAGGAAUUGAC